UACAGCCCAGGGUGAGGACUGUCUACAGCCCAGGGUGAGGACUGUCUACAGCCCAGGGUGAGGACUGUCUACAGCCCAGGGUGAGGACUGUCUACAGCCCAGGCCGUUUACUCCUAGCUUGGACGUCUCGUUCUGGCCCCAGUAUCGUACUCACCAUACGGCAGUGUGCCCACGACACACCUCAAACUGCGCACCGCUGCUGGUUACCUUGGGGGAUCGGCUGCUGCAGAAGAGCCCCCCUGGCCGCCGGUCUACUAGGAGCUGGGAGAGAGCAAUUUAGAUGUGGAC